CGUGCACCCACAAUGUGCCAGUCCUAGGACCAUGUAUUGCUGAGAGAAGUGAGGCACCUUAAAGAAAAGCAGGCUAUGAAGAAGACAUUAUAACCAAAUAUUUGAAAUGAUUCUACUGUAAUAGUAGAUUCUCCCACCCCUCAUUGUCAGGUUUUAUUAGAAUAAAUUUAUGUACAUGACAAUGAGGUAGUAAAAUCUGUAACUUCUAGGAAACGGUUUUGGGGUCAAGACAAUCUCAGUAAGAUCUCAUUCUCUUAGGGUUCUGAGUCCUAGUCAUUGAAAAUUGAUCUCUAGCAUGAUGACUUGAAGAUCACAGUUGAAUUCUACAGGAUAUUCAGUCAUCACAGACAAAUGUGAGGAGUCAUGUUCACUGUGAUAGACUAACCCAGAGAGGUGUACUCCAGAACUCACAAAAUGAUUAUUAACAUGGGCUAACCCCAACCGUAAAGGCUUUAAUAGUGAACACCCAGUUUUCUGAGCAGCUUAGGUCGUUAAAGUUUCCAUAUUAGGUACAUCAGAAAGUAAUAUUGGAAAGGGCUGGAAAGGACUCAUAAUUAUCCAUGAAAAAUAGAUAACCUUUAUUGCAUUAUGCUUACCAUGUGAUAGAACUCUACACUAAGCAUUUUGUAGAUGAGGAAAUAAGCUCAGACCAGGGUAAAUGGAGCGGAGUCUGAAUCGAGACCUGUCCAAUUUCUGAACCCACACACCUAAGAAUAGUCACACUGCCACUCAAAAGGACAUUAAAUCAUCAGUAAGAAAAACUUCUUGUAGUUUAUUUCAUCCACUUCUGUCUGUAGUGAAAACUGUCUAGCUAGCUUGUGUAAAGACCUUACGUUUGUGAGAUUAUAGGUGCUGAUCUUUAUAAAAGUUCCCUCUCCACAAGUUUGUCAGUGAUGUGUCCAAGGUAGAGUUAUCAGAAGGAAUGUGGGUUUGUGCUCCUAACACCUGGUACAGACUAAGUCUUCCAACUCCUCCUAGUACCUGAGGCAGUGAGAAUAGACAGGAACCAGAAUAGUAGCAAGAGAACAGGUAUAAAAGAAGUACUGGGACGGGAGCAGAGAGCCAUUUUCUGGUAUUAUUCCAGCAUAUACAAAACUCCCCUGAGUUAAAAGAAUUGUUAUAGGUUUGUCAUAAAUAUUAUAAUGGCUGCUUACCUUUUAUUUGCAACUAUUCAUUCAAUGAAUAUUUACUGCGUACUUUAUAUGUCAGGUACAAUGCCAGAUGCUUAAGCUCUGUCAGUGUAUCUCAAACAGGUAAAGAUCCUCACCCUAAUGGAGCUUACAUUAGAGGUAGGAGGAAAAUGGUAACACAUAAUAAUUAUAAUUUUAAAUGAUCUUACAUGGUAAUAAGUGCUAUAGAUAAAGGAAAAAGGAAAGAGUAAGGGGGGUCAGAAGUGCGAGGAGCGGCAUACAUUCAGCUAAUUCAUUCAGGAAAUAUUUAUUGAGCAUCUACUGUGUCUGGGGAUGUAGUAGUAAGUAAGAUGGAUAGGGUCACUACUCUGCUGAAACUCAUGGUUUAAAUCUCCACUGAAAGAAGUAAAUAAGCAGUGGACUAAUUUAAUCAACAGUGGGCAAAGACAAGCCAUUACAAUGCAAAUGCUGGGUGCGACCAGGAGUUUAAAGGAACUGAAACAAUUACAGUCAUAGGGAAUAUCAGAGAAUACUUACCAGUGAUGUCUAAUUAACAGCAAAAAUUUACUUACUGAAUUUACCACUGACUGUAAAUAUUUGAUUAAAUAUUGAAAAAAGUAUUCCUGGGCAACUGGAAACGUGCCCAUGUAAGAAUUCGGUAUACCUCUCUGAUUUUAAUUUAGCAAUAAAUUUUGCCAUAGAAAUGAUAAAACAUAAAAAAAAUGUUUUGUUGUUCUAGUUUGGCAUAGCUGUGUGCUUUUCCUGCUGAUUACAACUAAAAAGUAGACAAAAAUGCAAAAGCGACUAUCUGAGGAUACUGAGAAAUAAAAGCAGGUGGAUUGUGGAGAAGCAACCUAGACAGAGGAAUGAAGGCAAAAUAAAACCAUUCUCAGAUGAAGAAAAAUUAAGAGAAUUCAUUGCCACCAGACCUAAUGUACAAGAAAUGCUAAAGGAAGUUCCUCAUACUGAAGGGAAAUGAUACUUGAAGGAAACUUGGAUCUCUGGGAAUGAAGGAAGAGCAACAAAUGAGAUUAUACGAGGCAACGUUUCCAACAGUUUUUUCAGAGAAGAAAGUAACUGCAGCAAAAGGUGGGGAAAGGCCCAGCCCUGCUUACACCUGCCAGGCCUGACCAGGAUGCCUCUCCAUCACAGACCAGGCGCCCACCUGGAACCCCUGCCUCUCCAGAACCCAGCUGAGAAUCAAGACUGCCAAGCCACAAAAACAAAGGUCAUAGAGUCCACAGCGGAGCAGG